rnacentral:rRNA from 1 species
CUUGGUCAUUUAGAGGAAGUAAAAGUCGUAACAAGGUUUCCGUAGGUGAACCUGCGGAAGGAUCAUUAACGAAUUGCAUUAGGAGUUGAUGCUGGUGGCUGAUUCCAUUGGCUGCAUGUGCUCGCUUCUAUAACAAUCUUUGACCCAAACACCAGUGCACCUUAUGAGGGGGUCUCCGUUUUUCAUGGAUUCCCUUCUCUAAUAUACGCUGUUUACAAUGUUGAACGUGCCUGUGCCACAUUGGCCUUAAUAUGUAAUAUACAACUUUUAACAACGGAUCUCUUGGCUCUCGCAUCGAUGAAGAACGCAGCGAAAUGCGAUAAGUAAUGUGAAUUGCAGAAUUCAGUGAAUCAUCGAAUCUUUGAACGCACCUUGCGCUCCCUGGUAUUCCGGGGAGCACGCCUGUUCGAGUGUCGUGAAAUUGUCAAGCUUUGAUGCUUUUUCCUGUCAAAAAGGCCCUCUCAGCUUGGUUGUUGGGCUCUGCCGUGCUCUUUAUUGGAACGGCUGGCCUUAAAAGUAUUAGCUUGAUCCUCUUGGGUAAAUUGGUUCUACUCAGCGUGAUAAUGAUCUCUGUGACCGCUGAGGACAUCUUCCGAGAUGGCCAAUUCUCGAUUGGGUUGCUUCUAAUCUGGCUCUACGGAUUUACGAAUCCGUGCCGCUUCUGAUUUUUUGGCCUCGAAUCAGGUGGGACUACCCGCUGAACUUAAGCAUAUCAAUAAGCGGAGGA